UUUUCUGGAAUUCGAAAGUGCCUUUAUUGACUAAUCAGCAUGGUUUAAAUAGUAAACCUACAACCAACUCUACGAAAAGAAAGCAACAGCUAGUCUACUACAGUAUGACUAGUCUACUCAACUGAUAACAACAACUAAACUAUGUCUCCUAAUCUUUAGGGAUAUUCCUAAAGAAUUGGUCUUCCUAAAGACUUGGUCAUCACAAACCAGAUUAGGAUUUCCACAAUUAUUCAAAUAAAACAAACUCUUUCACUUGGUAGGAUUUGGAUGUUCUUCAGUUAUACGGUGGCUUCCUUAAUUUCAUGGAUUUGUUUUGUGAUUUUUGAUUAGAUUAGUGUAUGUGAUUUGGCUUUGUUUGGUAGUCUGGGUUUUAUAUUUUCAAUGGUCCCAAGAUCCAAUUUUUUUUGAAGAUUCUGAGGGAAAAGGAUUGGGUUGAAAAGAAAUAGAACAAGAAUUUGGUGUUCAUUUGUCUGUUUGAUUCAUUAGGUUGCAACGAUAUUUUGGGCCAGCCAUAUUUGAAGCAUCAAAGCUAAAGGUUCUGUUUUUAGGAGUGAAUGAAAAGAAGCACCCCAGGAAUCUUCCAAGGACGUGCGCACUUAUUCGUAGUGAUGUAACCUCAAAGCUCACUCUUGCCAUCUCACAAACUAUAAACAACAUUUAGUUAACGUAGAGCAGAUGUUUCUGAGGAAAGAGGUCUUACUUUUGGAGUCUCUGUUGGAGUUGAAUGAGCUGACACAGAUAUCAGGAUUGUAAAGAAGGACAAGCCAGGAACUUCAAUGCAGUUGUACUUGGUUCUGGACACACCUGCAAAUGGCAUAAAGCAAUAUUGUCAAGUAGAUUUUGCAAAGCAACGUAGUGAUAUUGGUAACAGCGAGCUAUCAAAUUUGCAAGUAUUUUGAAUUCAGGUAUGAAUGUUUAAAUGUUGUUGGUAAUAAAAAGAAACACUGCCACCAGAGAUAUUACAAACACGGGCAGAUCCAUGUUUUCCAAAUCCAAAUCACUAAGACAAACGACUUCAUAGUAAAAGCAAUCUUUCCACACACAGAUCAUCAACCAGGUACCAGCACACCAGCUCAUCCACUGUAUGAAAAAAAAAAAAGAUUGGUUGAUAGAAGCAAGAAACAAUUGUUUGCUACCAAUCCAGAGAAAAAACCUCGCUGAGACAAGUAUUGAAUCAGCGGCCUCAACAACAGACACACAC